rnacentral:snRNA from 1 species
UCGCUCAGGUUUUCCAGCGUCGACGAAUAUGCGUUUCGCCUUUUACUAACGCAUCCGUGCUGGGGGACACUUACAAUGAGCCUAAAUGGCAAUUUUUGGAGCCUCUAUAAGGGGCU